GAUGUUCAAUCUGUUCCUCUUUCAUGAGCUGGAAAAUCUUUGGAUGAAUCAAUCCGUUAGCCAAAAGAAUCUCGUCCAGAUUUGGUGGUCCUCCCUUUUGACGUGGUCCCCAAAAUGAAGGUUUUUUCAUUCGUAUGCUCAGAGUAUGGCGCGCUUAAGUUGUAACCUUGGAUUGGCAAGUGACUUGUGGGGUUUAGAAUGAAUGAGAAUGGUCCUGGAGAAAUAUCCGCAUGGAUUCAACCUUAAGCACACCGUAAUCAAAUGUCAUGCAACAAUCGUCCUUGAGGCUUACUCUGGAUUCAACCUUAAACAGGGGUUUUGGGACUUAUUUAAGGUACGUCAUGAGUGAAAGGUGGGAUCCUGAGCAACAUUUCUUUGUGUAGGCUGCAGGUCUUGUGCUGCAAUCUUGUGGCAGGUCUUUGUUUAUAGACCAGGUUUUCUAAAUCAUGGUAUGUUCAGCUUAAACUUUAUUGCGGAAG